UUACUGCUACCUCCGUCUGAAAAUAUUUGUAGUCAAAAUGAAUAAAAGAGGAUGUAUCUAGAUGUAUUUUAGUUCUAGAUACAUCCCUUUCUAUCUGUUUUGAUCACAAGUAUUUUUGGAUGAAGGGAGUAUUAA
rfam:Triticum aestivum genome assembly, contig: Triticum_aestivum_CS42_TGACv1_scaffold_576885_7BL